UUGGCCGGGCCAAGCGAGGAGAUGCGCUAACAUUAAGUCGAGAGGUAGUGGUGGCAGAGACGCUCCGGAAAUCGGGGCAGCUUUGAGACCGUGUCCGGAUCAGGGUCGUGUCACUGUCAAAAACACGGGACUGCCUCUCUUUCCCGUGUGUGUGCGCGCGCGGGAGCGCGCGCAGCUCUCGCUGUGGACACCGCACCGAGCCUUAGUUUAUCUUCUCUCCUAUAGCGGGCUUAUUCAGGUGAUUUUAAUUUUGGAAAAAGCCAGAAGUUGCAGGGUGCCAAACCUGGGCUAUAGUGGAGCAGUCACCUGGGUGAUUUGAUGUUUCUCAAAAGAACUCUGCACAAGACGUGAUCUGUGAGCAGGAACAGAAGGAAACUACGUGCACCAGCCAAAGACUGAAUUACAGUCAGCGAGAGCAUCUGCCUGAGAGAAACAGUAAAGUGACUGCCGUUAAAAUUAGUGACAAAGCUGGAAGACUUUAACAAAUGUGAUAAGACUCCUCCACGAAGCUUAAAGGUACCUUUGUUGGGGAAGCACAAAGGUUCUUACCUUGCUUUUGUCAUGCAGCCGUGUACCUUGGAGCCAUUUCUAAUCACCUGACAACAGAGACCCGUUUCAUCCCGUCCUCACUGGAACCACACCAUCUACCCAUUGAACUCCCCAGGAACGAUUUCAGAACUCAGUUGAUUUGAGAUGACUGUAUUUAUUAGGACCAUCCCCAUGUAAGUUUUCUGGUGGGAUCAAAGCUGUGCCUGUCAGCCAGGGAAAAAACACAGAAGCAGAGAGUUUACUUUAGAUCCUGUGGUCCGUAAAUAAUAGCCCUCCAAAGAUGUCCACAGAACCUUCUGAAUAUGUUCAUUUGCGUGGCAAAGAGACUUUGGGGGUGUGAUCAAGUUAAGGCUCUUGAGAUGGGGUGCUGAUCCUGGAUUGCCAUGGUGAGCCCAAAGUAACCAGUGUCCUUUCGCAGAGAGAGGCAGUAGAGUUAGACAGUGGACACAAGAUUGGAAGCAGAGGUCAGAGAGGAGAAAAUGCUGUUGCUGGCUCUGAAGAUGAAGGAGGGGACCACCAGCCAGAGAACUCUGGAAGCUGGAAACGGCAAGGAAAUGGAUUCUCCUCUAGAGCCUCGAAAAUGAACAGGCCUGCAGAACUAAGAUAAUUAAUUUGUAAUGUACAUAUAUUACAUUACAAGUUAAUAUACAAUAUAUUGUGUUAUAAGUCA